AUUGAACGCUGGCGGCAUGCUUCACACAUGCAAGUCGAACGGUAGAGGGGGCAACCCCUUGAGAGUGGCGAACGGGUGAGUAAUGCAUCGGAACGUGCCCAGUCGUGGGGGAUAACGCAGCGAAAGCUGUGCUAAUACCGCAUACGAUCUCUGGAUGAAAGCGGGGGACCGAAAGGCCUCGCGCGAUUGGAGCGGCCGAUGUCAGAUUAGGUAGUUGGUGGGGUAAAGGCUCACCAAGCCAACGAUCUGUAGCUGGUCUGAGAGGACGACCAGCCACACUGGGACUGAGACACGGCCCAGACGCCUACGGGAGGCAGCAGUGGGGAAUUUUGGACAAUGGGCGCAAGCCUAGUCCAGCAAUGCCGCGUGCAGGAAGAAGGCCUUCGGGUUGUAAACUGCUUUUGUACGGAACGAAAAGGUCUGGGUUAAUACCCUGGGCACAUGACGGUACCGUAAGAAUAAGCACCGGCUAACUACGUGCCAGCCGCCGCGGUAA
rnacentral:rRNA from 1 species